GUUGAGUUGGGGUCAUAGAGCUGUAAGCAAUAGGAAGUGCUUGUGAGAGGCUCAGAAGUUCUUCAUGAUGAUGACUUAGAGAUAGUUUCUCCAACCUAUAGAGAAUGAUUCUGACCUUGUCUUGAAGUGUCCUAUAUUUGAAGACACUGAUGUUGGGGGUUUGAGUCUUCAGAUGGGAAGGAAUAAAGAACAGCUGUAGCAUGAUGCCAGAUGAAAUGCAGAGCCAGAGAAGCAUAAUGAUGUGCAAUGGAAACCAAAGAGAAAUUCACAUAAUGCACAGAGGCUUUAUCAAUGCACUCAUCCUCCCUGGCCCUCCUUUAUUCCAGAAAUCAUCAGCCCUACACUGUGCUUUGAUUAUUACUAUACAGUAGAUAAAGAACAGCCAAAAAGCACAUUGUUAGCAUGAUUUCAGUGAGGAAAACUACAACUGUAUAGUAGAUUGUCCAUCACACCUAUCAAUCACACAUGCAUAUGCUUGCUGUAUGAAAGUAAUUAAGAUGUAAAUAAUUAUUUCAUGAAUACUUUAGAAAAGGUUAACUGGGAAGAAUGGAAGUCUCCCCCGCCUCCUUUUCUUUAGCAGGACAACAUGAAGUUUAAAAGUAAGAUACUUCUUUGUGCAACUAACAUUCAUGUCAUUUACUGAGCACAAAACAGCAGUCAUUAGAAAGACCUGUCACAUUAUCAAUACCACAUCACUGUGAAUGGGUGUAGUUUUGUUGAUACUCCACAGCAGGAGGCUUGUACUGAUGGUGUAGAGUAGUGCAAAGGAGAUCAGGGUCACAAUCUGUAUAUUUAGAAAAUUAAAAGUAAAUUCUACUUUUUAUUUAUUUGGGUUCCUUUCAUAUCUGCUAAAACAACUGUUCCACUAUAUUUUUAAAUGCUUAAUUGAAUUUGCAUUACAACCAGAAUGUUAAAUUGUCUUCUACUGCCAUAAUACUGAAGGAGAGUGAUUGUGCAAACACAUGUUCUCCUACAGAGAUAAAUCCUCCAAAUGCUAUUGGACUGCAGUGGAAUUUUCUAGCACAGUAUUAUAGACCCUACUGUGCCAAAUCAUUGCAGAUUGACAGUAAUCUGGCACAGUGAGGUCUAUAAUACUUAGUCCUGACUUGAGUGAAGGACUAAGACUAGACUACACUAGACCGCUCAAGGUCCUUUCCUCUCAAAGUCCUAUGAUUCUAUGAAGCAAAUGUAACAGUUCUGAUUACUAAAAGUAGUGUCUAAUUUUGAAGAUACAACCACUUGUGGGUUCAAAUACAGAGGAUUAACUACCAGAUUUGCAAGUACAACCUUUAGAUGGCUAAAUGCUAAUAUUUGCACCUUCAAUAAAUGACAACUGUAAAAUGGGAUGCAGAGCUGAGGUCCCUUACAAAACUGGCCCAAAAUGUCCUCAGCAUAGCUAGUCUCUGUGUAGCUUAGUUGGCAGUAUUCUUGUUUCAGGGCCACUUGAAUUAGCCUGAUACCCAGUACUGACAACUUACUGCAAUGAUAAUGUGGUUUGGGUAUUCAGAAGGAGGAAUCCUCCAAGAUACACCCUAAAAUUUAUAUCCCUUUCCUCAUAUAAAAUGCAUGGGAAGCUUACCACAAUAUAGUACUUGUCAACUAGGGGCAAGGUACACUGCUUCUGCAGAAUGUGACUUAACAUAUGUCUAAGCAGCAAAGAAAAAUCCGCAGCUAGCCCAUGCUAGCUGACACUGGCUCUCGGGUUGGCACCUGGGCUCUGGGACCCUCCCACCUUGCAGGGUCCUAGAGCCUGGGCUCCAGCCUGAACCCAGAAGUCUACACAGCAACAAAACACCCCCACAGCAUGAACCCCACAAGACUGAGUCAGCUGGCAUGGGCCAGCUCUGGGUUUUUCUUCACUGUGUAGACUUACCCUCAGAGCUCAGGAUUGAAAGUUGGAUCCCACAUGGGGCACUCUCCUUCUGUCACCUCUAUCUCUGGCAGAUGUUAAAGAUCCAAAGGCACUUUUAUAAAAGGGUAAGAAACAACUCCAACUGUCCUGACCAGCAUUCCCUAUCUCAGUGAAACAGGUUGUAAUAUCUAUGGCUUUGUCCAACAUUGUUAUAAGUACUCAAAAGUUUGUCUUGCCACGUUUGCCUGCAACAUCAUUGCACCACCAAUACCAUUAUUACAGUGUAUAUCACUUUCAGUUACCCCACAUAAAAAAGUAUGGUAAACUAAACUGUGUUCUGUCAUGUAUGCUGUAAAUAAUG